UCGUACAGUAAGUCUUGCUCCUGUCUUUGUCCCUGAUGUGAAAAUACCUCUAAACUGCUGACGUUGUUGAUCUACUUAGAAUAAACUACGUACAAGGACAACGAGACACUGAACUGCAGUAAGAAAAAAAAACACACACAACCCUGGCUGACCAGGCACAGCGUGCUGUAGUGAAAGCUGCCAUGGAACAUUAGGUCAAUGGAUCAGCACAUGUUUCCUGUAUUAUUAUUUAGUAUUUAAAUGAAUAAUCAUUAUAGAAAUAUUAGAUCAUUUACAUCACACUCGGUCAUUCAACCCACGUGAUAAAAAAGAUUUAGAGUAAACUGCAUCAGAGGUCAUUAAACGUUUGCUUACGCUGCAGGCACACGGAGUAUAAAUACACACACAGCCAGCGCCCACAACAGGAGUUCUCCAUAACUAAUGUGACUUUGGGGCCUUAUUGAGAACACACACACACACACACUGUCCACGCUGACACUGAAAUGUCAGCAGCACAAAUUAAUCCACUCUCUGAGUGACUCCACCGAGGCUUCUUCAACCUUAAACACUGAUGUCUGUAGGAAGUUGUACUAAAUACUAUGAACUAUAGAAGUAUUUCUACUGGUGAGUCUGUCAUUAAAAAAAAAAUCACUUAUUCAACAUGAGUCAUAAAUUCCUAAAGUGGAUUAGUCAGCUGUUAGUUAAUCCCUGAUUUACUGAUCCUGAAGUUCGUCUCCUGUCUGUCUUCACUCUGUCCUAGUAAUGAGUGGUUUUGGACGGACACUCAAUCAUUAGGCUUUAAUAAGACAUGACUUUAGAGUGGAGACGGUUUGGAUUGGGCGGGUAUAGAAUCCUAAUUACACACUUUCCCAGAGGGAUUAAACUGGGAGUAUUUUUCAAAAUCUACUCUCUCAUUGACCAUAUCAUAUCAUAUGUAUGUGACUCUGAUCUGCUCUCUCUUGUCCCUCUCUCUCUUUCUCUCUCUUUGUGACAGUUUCCAGCCUGCUGACUCCAGUCAUCACUUACAAUUGAAACCUAAAACAUAAUGUAAAACACUGUCAAAGAAUCAAUCAUCAUUUUACAAUGCAAAUAAUAAUAACAAUUCUUAAUUCUAAUAACUAAUAAUAAUUAUUAUUUUAAUUGAUUUGUCAUAAUAUUGUUUUGUUUCAUUUUUUAAAAUUUCUAAACAUUUAUUUUGAAAUACAAUUCCCUUUUUUUCAACUUUAAAAUAUAACUGUAAAUUGAACUACAGAGGAUUUAAAAAAUGCAAAAUGAGAAACUGCGUCGUUGCAUUACCACACACGGCCACAAGAUGGAAGUGUCCUCCCUAUUUACAAAGCUAUAGUAAAGCUUUGUCAAACAUUCACACUUCUUUACGGUUCCAUGACUAUACAUAAAGAAAAUACUUCUUUCCAAUCAUGUUUGAAGCACCGGAGCCAAACAAACAUGGCCAACUCUGCGAAUAAUGUUUUGUCCUCUCACCAUGUUUUUUUGUAAACUGCAUUUAUGCUUAACUCUAUCCACCUGCUCACAAUUACAUAAUCCCCGAGUUCCUGCCAUGAAUAAAGGGACGCUUGCCUCUGGAAAUAAACAUGGAAAUAUUCCCUUUAUUCUGGAGCGGUGUUUUGCUACAGCCUGUCCAGCUACAUCAUCAGUUCGUGAGAAACUGGGAGAAACAAGACAGAGGAUAGAAGGCUGAGCCCGAGGCAAAGACAGAGAAAGAUAUUCUGAAUUCAUAAAAGAGCGAGAGUCUCUUUUUUUUUUAUAAGAGUUUGAGAAUGCGAGGAGGAGGAGGAGGAGGCUGUUUCUGUCAGACAACGCAGCGGGAAAUGUUUCCGGUGUUGAUUCUUCAGGCACAGAAAUAGAUGAAAAACUGCAUCAAAUAUGACGCUGAACCCCAGGUAUUUAGGCGGAUUUCACUGUUCGACAAAACCCAAAGUCAGGGACACUCAGUGUAAACUUAUGUCUUCUGAAGACAUUCUGCUCAGUCAUUGGACGGCAGACCUCAGAUCUGGCAUCCCGCUGCUUCGAGCUCUGUUACGUCACACUUCUGUUUUGAAAUCAUACCUGACAUUCCUGGGAAGGAUUCAACAGAACCGUUCAACACUAAAUAAAAACUUCAGUCUGAUCCCAGGAAGCAGGAUGUUUCUGACAGGGUCACAGAUGGAGUGAGCAGUACAGAGGUUCCAGUAAGAGGCGACAUGAUGACGAAACCCAUUAUUAGAAAUCGGGAAUGUUUACAUCUACCCACGAGACGUACCAAAUCCCCUGAGGGCGGCCAUACUGUGUGUUUUCUUACACGUCUGGAUAGGAAGGUCAGGUGAGGGAUAUUUAACCACAACAGGUGACUUUAUACUGUACACAGAGACCUGUGAUACGACAGACUCCGUCUGUUGCUUUCCAAAAUAUUAUUGACUAUCUGCCAAAAUACAACAGCAUUUAGUGGUUUUUAGGAAGCGCCUUAUUAACGCUGGGCCAUCAUUUAGUGUCAUUUGUGGCUUCAGUAUCUGCACAGUGGUAUUUUUAAAUACAGUUGUAAUUGCAGUUGAUUGUCAUAAAACCACAUUUAAAAACUAGAUCCUGGGCAGGUGUAGUACGAUACGAGCAAUUUAAUAAAACACAGACUCCAGGUGCGCUUUAGUGCUGAACAGACUCUUCUAGAUUUAACAUCUUAGUGGACGGAACUUCUUUGUUGUGACUUGUUACCCCAACAGUUUGUGUUAAUUAAUUUAUUCAAACAAGGAAAUAGUUCUACACUCUUUAAGUGAGACUGUCACUGAGAGACUGAGAGUGUUUCUAAGUGAACUGAACUUUUAUUGGUGUAAAAGCUCUGCACGCUUUCUGUUCACCUGGCACCGGUGUUAACUUUCUUUAUCUUUAUUAUUUUUUCUGAGAAGAAGAUGAAACUGGCUUCGAGCUGUGCCACCGCGAGAAACAUUUAUUGUGAUCUGUGGGCAUCGUUUCACCAUUGUGGUCAUUUGUAAAAGAGUACUUUAUGAUGCAGCAUUAAUAUGUCAGGCCACACGGAAACAGCUGUCUGUGGUGUGUUUGAUGCCGCAUGAUAAAAAACAUAAAUAAAGUCAUUUACAUAUCACCUAGACAAAUACCUGCCAGCUGGAACCAGUAUUUUUGAAAUAUUAUGUCAGUGCUGCAGAAGCAUGUAGAGUCAAUCGAGUUAGUGGUUUUUCAUAUUUCCUCUCAUCUCUUUCACAGUGUUUACAGAGUCUGUCCCUGCUGGGACAAAUGUAAAUGAAAUUCAAAUCCCAGAAAAGCUCCAUAAAGGAGUCUACAGAAAGAAAUAAUAAUAAAAAAAAUCUGUUAUUACACCUCGUGUCUCCUACUGAGCAAAGCAAACACUGUUGCUCAGCGUGCGACCACAGAGCUGUUCUUACUUAAGUGCUGCUGUAAAAAUAACUCAAUGUAAUGAACUGAAAAUAACCGUAUGUGUGUGUGUGAGCAGAAAAACACACACACAUACACCUUAUUCUCUGGCGCACGCGAAACAGGAAGUAGACGUUAGGCCCUCGUGGUGGAACAACUAUGAGCGAAAACAUUACAUUUUUAUUUUACUCCGUUUAAAGCCUUCACCACCGAUCGUUAAAUUCUCGAAGAAACAAUAAUAUUCUUUACAGUGUUUUAACACAGAGGCUAUUUUGGUGUGUUUCAAAGACAUUACUGACAUGAAGAAGAACAAUCUAGAAGUUUCACUUGUCAGUAACACCUGUGCUGGUCCCACAUGUCUGUGAAAGACGCUACGUUUGGACAGAACAACAGUAAAAUGAUUUGUUUGACAAAAACAUCGACUUCCUCUGCAUGCUGCGACUGUUGACUAGAAUAGAGAAGUGAGAAUCUUUUUUUUUUUUUAAUUAUUAUUAGGCCAGUGGUGACUUGCGUCCAGAAGGUUUCAGGUUUGAGUCCACCAGCUGCCCAGUUACCACUGAGGUGCUCUGAGCGUUCACUUUG